rnacentral:rRNA from 2 species
CUCGUUGGUGACCNGCGGAGGGAUCAUUA